AACGAACGCUGGCGGCAGGCUUAACACAUGCAAGUCGAGCGCCCCGCAAGGGGAGCGGCAGACGGGUGAGUAACGCGUGGGAAUCUACCCAUCCCUACGGAACAACUCCGGGAAACUGGAGCUAAUACCGUAUACGCCCUACGGGGGAAAGAUUUAUCGGGGAUGGAUGAGCCCGCGUUGGAUUAGCUAGUUGGUGGGGUAAUGGCCUACCAAGGCGACGAUCCAUAGCUGGUCUGAGAGGAUGAUCAGCCACAUUGGGACUGAGACACGGCCCAAACUCCUACGGGAGGCAGCAGUGGGGAAUAUUGGACAAUGGGCGAAAGCCUGAUCCAGCCAUGCCGCGUGAGUGAUGAAGGCCCUAGGGUUGUAAAGCUCUUUCAUUAAGGAGGAAAAUGACAGUACUUAAAAAAGAAGUUCCGGCUAAUACCCGUGCCAGCAGCCGCAGUA
rnacentral:rRNA from 1 species